GAGGAGAGAACUGUGCAUCAAUAAUCUUUAUUUGGUAUUGUACGCCCUAAAACAUGUCACAAAAGUAGAUUCUAAAUUCUGAUUGUAGACUUCGAGGGGCCCAGAGCAAGUGUCAUAUGCUGGGCCGACAGGAUACUUAAAAGUAAACAAUAUAUUCUAUGCUAAAACACUGAUUUGGGCUUGCCCGCCUCUGAUGCUGGACCCGUAGGACUUGAUAGUAUUAUAAAACGUCUUAAGAACUCCAAUCUUGAAGUCCUUAUAUAAGCAGAAUAAUUGGUGGAAAAAUACCAAAGAUUACAAUUUCAAGCCAAGAUUACACAAUUUAAACCAUCGUAAUCAAUCAAUACAGAUAGUCUAGUGGGUGAGUAUGUUAAGUCAAAAUCUUGCUUAAUUUGACUCUCUAUUUAUUGAAAAAGAAUACAAAGUGAGUUUUGUGUU
rnacentral:sRNA from 1 species